AUCAUAUGUGUUUUAAACAUGUUAAAUAUGUGCUUUUACUUUUCUUAGAUUAAUUGUAGAUUAAAUUCAACCACGAGACAAUGCCAUGAAGAGAUUAAAGGACAACCUAUGUGGUUGGUUCAUGCCUCAAAAAAAUAAAGUUAUGGAUGCCCCUUCGGGCUCCUCUGACAACAAUGACAAUGUGAGAAGUGACCCAAAUGAACUGACAUCAGGAAUCCAUCAUGGAGUCACCCAUGAAAGCACUUCCCUGAAUAAUCUGACAUCAGUAUCCUCUGAAGGAUUCACCAGUGAACACACUGCCUUGACUGAACUGACAACAGGAAUAGCUGAUAGAACCAGCACUGAAAGUUAUGACCAAAGCCAGUUGGAAGAAGUAAUUUGUGUUCAAGCUUUUGAAGGGUGAGAUAUAAAUAUGUAUAGAUAGAGUGGGGGAUGGGGUGGGUAUUAAGAUUUGUGAAAUUUACCUUGGUGGUAUCUAUAACAUAUCUUACUUUGUCUAUUUUUAAUCCUUUAGCACUUCCCUGAAUAAUCUGACAUCAGUAUCCUCUGAAGGAUUCACCAGUGAACAGUGAGAUACAAAGCAUAAAUACAUAUAUGUACACACACAUACAAAUGCAUACGGAUACAGAGUGAGAUUUGGGACGUUCACCCUAGGAGCACCCAUGGGAAUACAGAGUUCCUUUGAUAGUAUUUCUAAAGUCCUUUCUAAAGGACUAAAUUUCUAAAGUAUUUCUAAGGACAGAGUUUCUUUGACACUUUAAAGGCUUUUUUUCCCUCUUUUUUCCAGCCUCAGUAUGUAACUUUUUCUCUUUUGGAUCUAUUUGGGGUGGGUGGGUGGAGAACAGGUCAUAUAAGGGAGAAUUCCUACCCCUGGUCUGUUAGUUUUCUUGUUUAGGAUCAGCCAAAACCCUUAUAAAGUCUCAGAUUGCCUGUGAAUAAGAGUCUACUAGACUAGGCGAGGAGAGAACAGAGUUGUAUUUGGGGUGAGGAGAAGGUAGUAGUGGACAGAGAGCAAAGGAGCCCUCCGCAGAAAAAAAGGAUCUAAUAGACCCUGGAAGUGUCCCUCCCUCUCCUGAGCUCAGCCACCAUGCGAGGCUGGUGCCCCAAACCCACCAUCAUGUCAGAAGGAGCCCCUACCUUGUCCUGACCAUGUCUGAAGGGCAGGAAAGAUAUCUAUGAUUUGUGAAGGAUUAGUAGGUGGUGUAGGGGCUGGAGAAGGCAGAAAAUUACAGGACAAAUGAGAUGAGUACCUACAAACCGAAGUUGAAUUUGAAAUGAGUUGACUCACAAAAUGGUAUUACACUUGGACAUUAGGUUCAGGAGUGAAGAAAUGUACAUACAUUUAAGUUUUUUCACAGGACUAAAAUUUCAUUGCAAAUAUGGAAAGUUCAUUUCUAAAGAAAAAUUAAAUACCAGGCUUCAAAGAACGGAUUAAAAUGUUACUUUUAGGGCAACUGGAUUAUAAACUGCAGAGUAGUAUUGCUCAUUUGCAUUCAAGAAUCUAGAAAGACAUAUGGAGCCUUACUAUGUGUAUUUUUAAUCCUUUAGCGGUGACUUAAGUGAAUUGAAAGAAGUAGUCUGUGUGAAAGACACUAAUGAAAGGUGAGAUAUAAAUAUACAGAGGGAAGAAGGGGGAACACUGAGAUUUGUGAGAUCAAAUUAGUUAUGGAGUUCUUGUCUCAGACAGUUAUUUGAAAACUAUCCACAGAGGGGAAAAAAAGAUAUUCAUAAUACAUGAAAAGUAUGGUGGUGCAGGG
ensembl:lncRNA